CCCGAUUCUCGUGUCCAAUUCUCGCCCUUCUUCCUAACCGUCUCCCGCCGACUGAAAGCUUAUAGACGCCGUCGAGGCGGCGAUGCCUGCGAUCACUUUACCCACCGCCGCCUCUUCUUGUUCUUUUCGUCGUCCCCUUGCAGCUUCUUUCCGAUCCUCCUCGUUCCUCUUGCCCCUUCGACUGUUGCCCAGCUCCGUCCACGCUUCCCUUCGGUCUUCGAGCCAGAUCAUGGCGGUAUCUGCUUGGGACGCCGAAAGGAUCCCAGUCGCCGACGUCCUGGCCGAUUCGAUGGCUGUGAAGCCGCCUUCCCACCCUACCUACGAUCUAAAGGCCGUGAUCGCCCUCGCUCUCUCCGAAGAUGCUGGCGAUCGAGGAGAUGUGACUUGCUUGGCCACUGUUCCAAAGGAUAUGAAAGUAGAAGCUCACUUCAUCGCGAAGGACGAUGGGAUUGUUGCUGGAAUCUCUCUGGCAGAAAUGAUAUUUAAUGAGGUUGACCCCUCAUUGAAGGUUCAAUGGUUUGCAAAAGAUGGAGAUCAUGUUUGCAAGGGCAUGCAGUUCGGCAAAGUAUAUGGAUGUGCACAUAGUAUCAUUGUGGCGGAGAGGGUUGUCCUUAAUUUCAUGCAAAGAAUGAGUGGAAUAGCAACACUAACCAAGGCAAUGGCAGAUGCUGCUCACCCUGCUUGCAUUUUAGAGACUAGGAAAACUGCUCCAGGGUUACGUUUGGUAGAUAAAUGGGCGGUACUAAUUGGUGGUGGCAAAAACCACAGGUUGGGUUUGUUUGAUAUGGUAAUGAUAAAAGAUAAUCAUAUAUCAAUAGCUGGCGGUGUCAUGAAUGCUUUGAAAUCAGUGGAUCAGUACUUGCAACAAAAGAAUCUUGAAAUGCCUGUUGAGGUAGAGACAAGGACCUUGGAAGAGUUGGAAGAAUUAUUGCAAUAUGCCACUAAAAAUAAAACUUCAUUGACUCGGAUUAUGCUGGACAAUAUGAUUGUUCCUCUUCCAAAUGGAGAGGUGGAUGUCUCAAUGCUGAAGGAUGCAGUUCAGCUGAUAAAUGGUAAAUUUGAGACCGAGGCAUCUGGAAAUGUCACCAUUGAUACAGUGAAGAAAAUUGGAGAAACUGGAGUAACCUAUAUUUCCAGUGGAGCUUUGACACAUUCUGUGAAAGCACUUGAUAUCUCACUCAAGAUAGACACAGAGUUAGCCCUUCAAGUCGGACGGCGAACAAAUCGGGCAUGAUCCGGGCACAUUGCAUCAGGUACCUUUGUUCAAAUUUACAUUUCAAAAAGCAAGUUCCGGACAUAGAUUGUGGCUUUAACAAAGUCUCUAUGUACUUCGACAACUAAAGUUCUAAAGAGACCAUAAGAGAUGUCGGGGAGGUUGAUCCUUUGUGGACAGAUACAUAAAGAUGCCGCAUGACUUAGGUAAACUAGCUAAGUCCAUGAUAAAAUAGUAUAUCAUUCUUACAAGUUGUUUUAUGACUUUAUCUACUUAUGGAAUAGGAUUAAAUCUGUGUUAUAAUGCCUUCACUUAAGAGGGUCUAAUCUAGUGAUGAUUUUAUGUCGUAAUGUGUUUUCUUUUGUUCGUCAAAUGAUAGUCUUUUCUUCUCUAAGUCUUUCGUCAUGUCUAAUAUCAUAUGAUACCAAUGUACUCUUUUGGUUCGUGGAAGGAUAAUUUUCUUGCUUGAGUCUGUCUAAUAA